rnacentral:lncRNA from 1 species
GAUUCUUAUUAAUAAUAUGAUGUCAAAACUAGUCCUAAACACUCACCAUUUCAAGACGCCCUGAGAUCGGUUUCUGUAUUCGUCAUUUUAUGGCAUACUAGUGUUGAACCCGCGCUUCACUGCGGCCAAUUUUGACAGUAAUAUUCUAAUAUAAAUUUUAAAAUAAUUUUGAUGCUAAUAUUUUGAUGUGAAUUAUUAUAUAUAAUUAUAAAAAUGUAGCAGAAUAUAUAAAAUCUGACAGCAUCGCAAAAAUUUUAUGAACACUGUGUUCAUAUGAAAUUAUUUGGGGAUAUUUUGGAUGGACGCCAUGUGGCA